UCAUUUGUUUUACCUGUUUGGUUGUAACGAGGUGCAAGCCGUGAUAUCGUGCUCAGACUAACAUUCAGACGCCUGGCAACAGAAGAUUGGUAAUCUCCAGCGUGGAUUCUUUCAAUGACAAUGUUCCGUGCCGCAGCGUCAAGAU